rnacentral:rRNA from 1 species
AGUUGAUCAUGGCUCAGGAUGAACGCUAGCUACAGGCCUAACACAUGCAAGUCGAGGGGCAGCAGAUCGAAAGCUUGCUUUGAUGCUGGCGACCGGCGAAUGGGUGAGUCACGCGUGUCCAACCUGCCCCCCGCCCGGGGAUAGCCCUUGGAAAUGAGGAUUAAGACCCGAUAGGUGGCGCUUCCGCAUGGCGGCGCCAUGAAACUGGCGAGGGAUGGGGACGCGUCGGAUUAGCUUGACGGCGGGGCAACGGCCCACCGUGGCGACGAUCCGCAGGGGUUCUGAGAGGAAGGUCCCCCACACUGGCACUGAGACACGGGCCAGACUCCUACGGGAGGCAGCAGUGAGGAAUAUUGGUCAAUGGCCGAGAGGCUGAACCAGCCAAGUAGCGUGCAGGAUGACGGCCCUACGGGUUGUAAACUGCUUUUGCGGGAGGAUAAAGUGCGCCACGCGUGGCGCUUUGCAGGUAUCCCGUGAAUAAGGACCGGCUAAUUCCGUGCCAGCAGCGGC